GUGCACAAAGAUACAUCAUGGUGAACAUAGAAACCCUAACUCCCUAGCAGCAAAACUCAAAAUCACACAUAAGCAAAAUUGGAUAAAAGUAAGCAUUCAAUCAUGUUCAGGGGGUUGAAUAUAGCAUUUCUCAUUCACACAUCAAGUCAUGAAAACCAUUCUAUCAAGCAAUUCGAAAGCAAGUUGCUAACCUGAACAGGGCAAUGUUGAAUGUGAUGUUAGAGGUGCUUUUAAUGAUGCUAGAUGAUCAGAAAGCAAGUUGCUAACCUGAACAGGGCAAUGUUGAAUGUGAUGUUAGAGGUGCUUUUAAUGAUGCUAGAUGAUCCCUUUAGCUCCUUUGAUGCUCCAGGAAUGUAAUGCCUUUGAGAGUUUGCCUUGAAACCUCCUCAACUGUUCUAGCCAAUUCAAGUUGCAAGUGUGAAGACUUGAAAUUUGGAUAUGAUGAUUUAAUGAUUACAGAUGGGAUUUUCUGCCUACAAUAGCUUCUACUUGUUGUAUGGAAGGUGUUUGAAUGGAUGGUUUGCAAGGGACUUGGGGAAAAUAUAAUUUUUGAAAAUUUGGAUUUUGGAGUAGAAAAUGAACUUUUGCAAUGGUGAGUUUGUUCUAUUGGUUUGUUAGCAGUUUUUUUGAAAGAAAAGGCCAAGGAUAUGUAUGUGUAUCAAUGAGAUUUUCUGGUUUGGUUGGUGGUUUUGGUAAAUGCAAAUGGGAUAUGAAACUAGGCAUGGCCAAGCUUUUUGCUCAUUGAGUUUUUGGGACA
rnacentral:lncRNA from 1 species